UACGUAGGGGGCAAGCGUUGUCCGGAUUUAUUGGGCGUAAAGAGCGUGUAGGCGGCUUUGCAAGUCCGUUGUGAAAACUCGAGGCUCAACCUCGAGACGCCGGUGGAAACUGCAAAGCUAGAGUCCGGAAGAGGAGAGUGGAAUUCCGUGGUGUAGCGGUGAAAUGCGCAGAUAUCAGGAAGAACACCCGUGGCGAAGGCGGCUCCUC
rnacentral:rRNA from 1 species